rnacentral:rRNA from 1 species
UGGGGAAUUUUGGACAAUGGGCGCAAGCCUGAUCCAGCCAUGCCGCGUGCGGGAAGAAGGCCUUCGGGUUGUAAACCGCUUUUGGCAGGAACGAAACGGCGCUUGUUAAUACCAAGCGUUAAUGACGGUACCUGCAGAAUAAGCACCGGCUAACUACGUGCCAGCAGCCGCGGUAAUACGUAGGGUGCAAGCGUUAAUCGGAAUUACUGGGCGUAAAGCGUACGCAGGCGGCUUGAUAAGACAGGUGUGAAAUCCCCGGGCUUAACCUGGGAACUGCAUUUGUGACUGUCAGGCUAGAGUUUGUCAGAGGGGGGUGGAAUUCCACGUGUAGCAGUGAAAUGCGUAGAGAUGUGGAGGAACACCGAUGGCGAAGGCAGCCCCCUGGGAUGAAACUGACGCUCAGGUACGAAAGCGUGGGGAGCAAACAGGAUUAGAUACCCCCGUAGUCC